AAGAUUUGGCCCGCAAUCAGUCUGAUUGGUUGAGGUACUUUCAAUUUCCAUCUGCCUGUCAGAAAAGAGGGAGAGUUCGAUGCCAGGACAGUCCAGAUCCAACGGCUACAGAACCCAUGAGGAUGGGCUAUAAAAUAUGUGAAGAAUUAAAGAAGCACAGUGAAAUACACAUUAUUGAUACGCAGCUGAAACAUGGGAUACAAUCCAUCUAUGAAUAACUGGUACAGUCCAGACUCCAUUUUUGCAGUCUACACCAACCAAACAAGCAAAAUUAAUGUAUUUAAAUAAAGAAGAAAAUAUAAAAGCAACAGAAUAAAAAGCUUCUUAUAUGAAUACUGGCCAAAAAAACCUGUUGUCACUGGUAAUGUAAACAU
rnacentral:lncRNA from 10 species